rnacentral:rRNA from 1 species
GUUAAGCGACUAAGCGUACACGGUGGAUGCCCUGGCAGUCAGAGGCGAUGAAGGGCGUGCUAAUCUGCGAUAAGCGCCGGUAAGGUGAUAUGAACCGUUAUAACCGGCGAUACCCGAAUGGGGAAACCCAGUGUGAUUCGUCACACUAUCAUUAACUGAAUCCAUAGGUUAAUGAGGCGAACCGGGGGAACUGAAACAUCUAAGUACCCCGAGGAAAAGAAAUCAACCGAGAUUCCCCCAGUAGCGGCGAGCGAACGGGGAGGAGCCCAGAGCCUGAAUCAGCAUGUGUGUUAGUGGAAGCGUCUGGAAAGGCGCGCGAUACAGGGUGACAGCCCCGUACACAAAAGCGCAUGUGCUGUGAGCUCGAUGAGUAGGGCGGGACACGUGGUAUCCUGUCUGAAUAUGGGGGGACCAUCCUCCAAGGCUAAAUACUCCUGACUGACCGAUAGUGAACCAGUACCGUGAGGGAAAGGCGAAAAGAACCCCGGCGAGGGGAGUGAAAAAGAACCUGAAACCGUGUACGUACAAGCAGUGGGAGCACCCUUCGGGGUGUGACUGCGUACCUUUUGUAUAAUGGGUCAGCGACUUAUAUUCUGUAGCAAGGUUAACCGUAUAGGGGAGCCGGAGGGAAACCGAGUCUUAACCGGGCGUUAAGUUGCAGGGUAUAGACCCGAAACCCGGUGAUCUAGCCAUGGGCAGGUUGAAGGUUGGGUAACACUAACUGGAGGACCGAACCGACUAAUGUUGAAAAAUUAGCGGAUGACCUGUGGCUGGGGGUGAAAGGCCAAUCAAACCGGGAGAUAGCUGGUUCUCCCCGAAAGCUAUUUAGGUAGCGCCUCGUGAAUUCAUCUCCGGGGGUAGAGCACUGUUUCGGCUAGGGGGCCAUCCCGGCUUACCAACCCGAUGCAAACUGCGAAUACCGGAGAAUGUUAUCACGGGAGACACACGGCGGGUGCUAACGUCCGUCGUGAAGAGGGAAACAACCCAGACCGCCAGCUAAGGUCCCAAAGUCAUGGUUAAGUGGGAAACGAUGUGGGAAGGCCCAGACAGCCAGGAUGUUGGCUUAGAAGCAGCCAUCAUUUAAAGAAAGCGUAAUAGCUCACUGGUCGAGUCGGCCUGCGCGGAAGAUGUAACGGGGCUAAACCAUGCACCGAAGCUGCGGCAGCGAACGUAUCACCCAAGACAACUUUACGGAGUUGACGAUUGACGGAGCGAAGCGACGUCAAAGCGUUCAUUAAAGUCGAGUUGGCUUAGGGAUACGUUCGUUGGGUAGGGGAGCGUUCUGUAAGCCUGUGAAGGUGUGUCGUGAGGCAUGCUGGAGGUAUCAGAAGUGCGAAUGCUGACAUAAGUAACGAUAAAGCGGGUGAAAAGCCCGCUCGCCGGAAGACCAAGGGUUCCUGUCCAACGUUAAUCGGGGCAGGGUGAGUCGACCCCUAAGGCGAGGCCGAAAGGCGUAGUCGAUGGGAAACGGGUUAAUAUUCCCGUACUUGGUGUUACUGCGAAGGGGGGACGGAGAAGGCUAUGUUGGCCGGGCGACGGUUGUCCCGGUUUAAGCGUGUAGGUGUGUGUUCCAGGUAAAUCCGGUUCACUUUAACACUGAGGCGUGACGACGAGGCACUACGGUGCUGAAGCAACAAAUGCCCUGCUUCCAGGAAAAGCCUCUAAGCAUCAGGUAACAUCAAAUCGUACCCCAAACCGACACAGGUGGUCAGGUAGAGAAUACCAAGGCGCUUGAGAGAACUCGGGUGAAGGAACUAGGCAAAAUGGUGCCGUAACUUCGGGAGAAGGCACGCUGACACGUAGGUGAAGUGAUUUACUCAUGGAGCUGAAGUCAGUCGAAGAUACCAGCUGGCUGCAACUGUUUAUUAAAAACACAGCACUGUGCAAACACGAAAGUGGACGUAUACGGUGUGACGCCUGCCCGGUGCCGGAAGGUUAAUUGAUGGGGUCAGCGCAAGCGAAGCUCCUGAUCGAAGCCCCGGUAAACGGCGGCCGUAACUAUAACGGUCCUAAGGUAGCGAAAUUCCUUGUCGGGUAAGUUCCGACCUGCACGAAUGGCGUAAUGAUGGCCAGGCUGUCUCCACCCGAGACUCAGUGAAAUUGAACUCGCUGUGAAGAUGCAGUGUACCCGCGGCAAGACGGAAAGACCCCGUGAACCUUUACUAUAGCUUGACACUGAACAUUGAGCCUUGAUGUGUAGGAUAGGUGGGAGGCUUUGAAGUGUGGACGCCAGUCUGCAUGGAGCCGACCUUGAAAUACCACCCUUUAAUGUUUGAUGUUCUAACGUGGACCCGUAAUCCGGGUUGCGGACAGUGUCUGGUGGGUAGUUUGACUGGGGCGGUCUCCUCCUAAAGAGUAACGGAGGAGCACGAAGGUUGGCUAAUCCUGGUCGGACAUCAGGAGGUUAGUGCAAUGGCAUAAGCCAGCUUGACUGCGAGCGUGACGGCGCGAGCAGGUGCGAAAGCAGGUCAUAGUGAUCCGGUGGUUCUGAAUGGAAGGGCCAUCGCUCAACGGAUAAAAGGUACUCCGGGGAUAACAGGCUGAUACCGCCCAAGAGUUCAUAUCGACGGCGGUGUUUGGCACCUCGAUGUCGGCUCAUCACAUCCUGGGGCUGAAGUAGGUCCCAAGGGUAUGGCUGUUCGCCAUUUAAAGUGGUACGCGAGCUGGGUUUAGAACGUCGUGAGACAGUUCGGUCCCUAUCUGCCGUGGGCGCUGGAGAACUGAGGGGGGCUGCUCCUAGUACGAGAGGACCGGAGUGGACGCAUCACUGGUGUUCGGGUUGUCAUGCCAAUGGCACUGCCCGGUAGCUAAAUGCGGAAGAGAUAAGUGCUGAAAGCAUCUAAGCACGAAACUUGCCCCGAGAUGAGUUCUCCCUGAGACUUAGAGUCUCCUGAAGGAACGUUGAAGACGACGACGUUGAUAGGCCGGGUGUGUAAGCGCAGCGAUGCGUUGAGCUAACCGGUACUAAUGAACCGUGAGGCUUAACCUUACA